rnacentral:rRNA from 1 species
ACAAAUCAGAUUCAGAUGGGUUUGUGGAUAGUGAAGAAGAAGCCUUCGAAGGUGAUAAGCAAGUGAAGAAGAAGCCUUCGAAGGUGAUGUAAUGUCCGAGAACUUAGAUAUGUCUACUUGUGUGGUUUUAGAUGACUACAGGAGUUCUUUGAAACCAGAAAUGGUCGAAGCCUUGGUGUGUGGUGCUAGUUAUAUCAAAGGUUCUCACAAGGACUUCAAUGUGGUGGAGAGGGAUGAAGAUGAGGAGGACGAUGUUGAGAAUAUCAAGUUGCCCAAGAUUGUUGAUGUGGGGGGUGACAACAAUUGAUAUUCGCCAUGUGGGUGUUGCUCUUGAUAUUUUGAAGAUGGAUGUCUACAUGAUCUUCUCAUGUGGAUUGUUGAGGUCAACGUGAUAAUUUCGUGCCAUUCUUUUGUUGUGAUGAACUUCGAAUUAUGUGUGCUGUUGUGAUGAACUAUGGACCUUGAAUGAUGUUGUGAUGAACCAUGCACUUUCAACAAUGUUGU